rnacentral:rRNA from 1 species
AAAUUUAUUUUUAUUUGUUUUGUUUUAUAAUUUUAUAGAAAUAACUUAUUUGAUUAGUAAAUUUUAUUGAACUUAUUAUUUUUAAUUAUAGCUUAUUGUACUGUGAAGGGUUAAAUUUAUUUAUUUAUAAGUAUAUAUUUUUAUAGUACCUUUUGUAUCAGGGUUUAUUAAAUUUUUAUUAUAAAUUUAUAAUUUUCUCGAAAUUAAAAGAGUUAAGUUUUAAUGUUGGUUUUUGUUAUAAAACAAUCAAUAAUUUUAAUUUAGUGGUUAUAUGCUAUUCAAUUUUAUAUAUCUAGUUUUCUAAUAAAUGAAUUAAAUUCAUUAUUUAAGUGUUAAUAAUUAAAUUUUAUUAAUUAUUAUUUUUAAAUUUAAUAUUAUGGGGGAUUAGCUCUAUAAUAUUUUUAUAAUUUUUAUUUUAUUUUAAGUAUAGUAGGAAUAAAAAUUUCCAUCUUGAAAUUUUUUUAUAAUUUAGCUUGAUUAAAUUUUUAUUUAAUUUUAUUUAAAUUUUUAUUAGAAUUAUUCAAUUAACUUCUUAUUUUUUGUAAUAAUGAUAAAAUUAGUAGUUAUAAUUAAUUUAAGUAUAGGAAUUCGGCAAUUUUGAUGUCCACCUGUUUAACAAAAACAUGUCUUAUAGAUUUUAAUUAUAAGUCUAACCUGCUCAAUGAUUAUUAUUAAAUAGCCGCAGUAUUUUAACUGUGCAAAGGUAGCAUAAUAAUUUGUCUUUUAAUUGUAGGCUGGAAUGAAUGGUUGAAUGAGAUAUCUGCUUUCUUUACUUAAUAUAUUUUGAAUUUAAUUUUUUGGUUAAAAAGCUUAAAUUUUUUUGUAAGACGAGAAGACCCUAUAGAAUUUUAUUAGACUUUUAUUACUUUAAUUUUUUUAAUUUUAAUUUAAUAUUAUUUUAAUUUGGUUGGGGUGACUGUAGAAUUUAAAAAACUUCUAUUUUAUUUUUACAUUUAUUAAUGUAUUUUUGAUCCUUUAUUAUUGAUUAAAAGAUUAAAUUACCUUAGGGAUAACAGCGUAAUUCCUUUGGAGAGUUCAAAUCGAUAAAGUGAGUUUGCGACCUCGAUGUUGGAUUAAAGUAAAUAUUGGAUGCAGAAGUUCAAUUAUUAGGUCUGUUCGACCUUUAAAUCUUUACAUGAUCUGAGUUCAGACCGGCGUGAGCCAGGUUGGUUUCUAUCUACAAAUAGGUUUAAUAUUUUAGUACGAAAGGACCAAUUAUUAAUAAUAUUUAUUUAUUUUUGAUUUAUAUU